rnacentral:ncRNA from 18 species
AAACUUAUUGGAUGCUGAGAUCUGCCAGGAUAAAAUGGUCACCAGAUUAAUUGGCAGUGAGCUAAAUGGUGAAACCGGCCAAAAUUG